GGCCGCCUGGCGAAAUGGCAUCGCGUCUGACUACGAAAGUGUAAUCAGGAGAUUGCAGGUUCGACCCCUGCGGUGGUCA
rnacentral:tRNA from 1 species